ensembl:lncRNA
GCGAGACAUAAAACUAAAUGCAGGAACCAAAGCGUAUGAAGACACAGAUCCAACCACUGAUAUCCAGACCACAUUCAUAAAUGGUACUUCUACAUAAAACCUGUGUUCUUGUUCUGCUCUGCGGCGUGUCUCUGGAGAAGGGCAGCGGGGCCGGUGUGAAUGGCGGCGGGGUGAGGAUACAUUCAUGAAGAACAGUGCGGACACACAGGCGCUGCUCAGCUCCCCGACAGCAACGCCUGACACGGGGAAUAAAUUGAACUUGGACCACCCCCUCCCCAUCCCAACCACCCA